CGGCCUCAGCCUGYAGCUUCCCCCUUGUCGCUCUCGGGUGUGGCCGGGUUUUGCCAACGGUCUGGUCAUUCCAGUAAAGGACAGCAACUUCUAACGUCUGCAGUGGUUCCAUACAGGUUCUUCAGCAGCUUCGUGAGCCAGAGGUGACGUGUUGUACUUGCUCUUCAUGCAAAGCCAGAAGGUAUUUCCAGAAGACAAGAAYAAGGGGAAAGUAUUUUGCAGAAGAACAAAAGGCAAAACUGAACAUUCUCCAGCUGAAGGAAGGAUAUCAGCUCUGGAAAUGAGAGAAGGACACCUGUCUCUCCCCUGCUCUUGGAGUUAGAGCCAUGAAUGAAUUAUGUGUGAUGGUGCACAGUGCUUUGUCCUAUGAUCAGUCCAACAAACCAUCCUCCUAAAUACUUUGCAAAGAAGGUUUUAUCUAAUCAAAAGCUACGCCAUUUUCUCAAAGUAAGAGGGUUGUUAUACUGAAUGUUACACACUACACUACCCUGUAGUGCCAAGGGAUCUGUGUAUAACAUGCAAAGGAACCAUUUAUGGACCUCUAUUUUACUCUGUAUUUACUAUGUCAUGGCUUUGGUGGAGUUUAGAGCAGUAGUUAAAUGUUUGUCAGGCUGAGUUGCAGCACUGUCUUGACCACAUAUUUCUCUUGUCCUGAUGAAUCUCUGCAACAGACAACGAUAAAGGGCACACUAGUCUAGGGGAAAGUGAUGAUAGAAGAGCUAGGACUUCUGAUUUGACCUCAGCUCAGGCAUUCUUCACAGUAAUAGGCUUCUCUGCUGGCCGCAC
rnacentral:lncRNA from 1 species